AAAGAGGGUCUGGAUGGGUGUUACAGAAUAGAGAAAAGUGGCGAAAAAAGGUUAGAGAAAAAUUGGAUGAAUUAAGAAUGGAAAAUAAUGGGGAGCUCAAACCAAAAAAAUAGAAAAACAGAAUGUUAUUUUGAGAAUAGCUAAUAAAUACCUGAAUAAUUAAAAAGUACAGAUGUAGCAAACAAGCCUAGAUGUUCCCAGGAUUGUUGGGUUAGAUGAUCCCUGACCAGAUCACAUAAAACUGUUUUUAUAAAAAUUGUAUGUGUUGCUUCU
rnacentral:lncRNA from 1 species